rnacentral:rRNA from 1 species
GACGAACGCUGGCGGCGUGCUUAACACAUGCAAGUCGAACGGAAAGGCCCUGCUUUUGUGGGGUGCUCGAGUGGCGAACGGGUGAGUAACACGUGAGUAACCUGCCCUUGACUUUGGGAUAACUUCAGGAAACUGGGGCUAAUACCGGAUAGGAGCUCCUGCUGCAUGGUGGGGGUUGGAAAGUUUCGGCGGUUGGGGAUGGACUCGCGGCUUAUCAGCUUGUUGGUGGGGUAGUGGCUUACCAAGGCUUUGACGGGUAGCCGGCCUGAGAGGGUGACCGGCCACAUUGGGACUGAGAUACGGCCCAGACUCCUACGGGAGGCAGCAGUGGGGAAUAUUGCACAAUGGGCGGAAGCCUGAUGCAGCAACGCCGCGUGCGGGAUGACGGCCUUCGGGUUGUAAACCGCUUUCGCCUGUGACGAAGCGUGAGUGACGGUAAUGGGUAAAGAAGCACCGGCUAACUACGUGCCAGCAGCCGCGGUGAUACGUAGGGUGCGGGCGUUGUCCGGAUUUAUUGGGCGUAAAGGGCUCGUAGGUGGUUGAUCGCGUCGGAAGUGUAAUCUUGGGGCUUAACCCUGAGCGUGCUUUCGAUACGGGUUGACUUGAGGAAGGUAGGGGAGAAUGGAAUUCCUGGUGGAGCGGUGGAAUGCGCAGAUAUCAGGAGGAACACCAGUGGCGAAGGCGGUUCUCUGGGCCUUUCCUGACGCUGAGGAGCGAAAGCGUGGGGAGCGAACAGGCUUAGAUACCCUGGUAGUCCACGCUGUAAACGGUGGGUACUAGGCGUGGGGUCCAUUCCACGGGUUCCGUGCCGUAGCUAACGCUUUAAGUACCCCGCCUGGGGAGUACGGCCGCAAGGCUAAAACUCAAAGGAAUUGACGGGGCCCCGCACAAGCGGCGGAGCAUGCGGAUUAAUUCGAUGCAACGCGUAGAACCUUACCUGGGUUUGACAUGGAUCGGGAGUGCUCAGAGAUGGGUGUGCCUCUUUUGGGGUCGGUUCACAGGUGGUGCAUGGCUGUCGUCAGCUCGUGUCGUGAGAUGUUGGGUUAAGUCCCGCAACGAGCGCAACCCUUGUUCACUGUUGCCAGCACGUUAUGGUGGGGACUCAGUGGAGACCGCCGGGGUCAACUCGGAGGAAGGUGGGGAUGACGUCAAGUCAUCAUGCCCCUUAUGUCCAGGGCUUCACGCAUGCUACAAUGGCUGGUACAGAGAGUGGCGAGCCUGUGAGGGUGAGCGAAUCUCGGAAAGCCGGUCUCAGUUCGGAUUGGGGUCUGCAACUCGACCUCAUGAAGUCGGAGUCGCUAGUAAUCGCAGAUCAGCAACGCUGCGGUGAAUACGUUCCCGGG